rnacentral:lncRNA from 1 species
CACAGCCAAGGAGGAAGGCCGGCGGGCCUGACCUGGGAAUGGAGGCACAACUUGCUGCAGGUCUCAGUAGGGAAGUCAGGACUGAGGGGGCCACAGGUACCCAGGAACAGGUGGGGCCUGGAGGCUGUGCUGAGCGCGUCCCUGCAAACGGCGUGAAAGGGAACACACCUGAGCGCGAAUCUGGGCUGAACUCUUCACCUCGCCACCUUUACAUCGCAUGCACCACAUUUCCAAGCUACAGAUCUGUUAGCAUCCAAUGGCAAAGCCCUGACUCCAACUCCGUGCCACCACCACAAGGGGACAGCACUGCAGCCAGCCUGCCUGGGACACUGAGCCCCACUGCGUGUACAGGGUGCCCCUCUGCCUGCCGCUUCCAACCUAUUAAGCGGGUUUAGAAACACCGCAUGUGUCGGGGGAUCUGCAGUCCUUGCUCAGCCCCUCUUGCUCCCAGGUCCCACAUGGUGAGAGACUCAGCAAACGCCAACCUGGGCGUCCACAUCACUGGCUGACUUCACUGUGGAAAAUUAUAAAGCAGUGCACGCACCUGCCUUCCUGUUCACCCAGGCUCCUCUACCUUUGCUGGGAGGUGUCCGUCACUCUCCGAUUCUGCUGUGGACGCCGUCCAGGCCCUGAGCAGCACCCUGUGCCAGAGGAACUUGAGAACAGCAGAUCCAAUCCCACACCUGCCAGCCAAGACCCGGGGAAGGGAGGAGACUGCGCCCAUUGUCAGUGAACUCGCCUUCAUGCAAACAUCUCACAGACUCGGUCAUUUCUUCAGGUCAGCACUACAUUAACAGGACAGCUUCGUGUCUUCAUAAGGCAUUUCAAAAACUUAACAAACAACUAUUAUGAUUCUUAAAAGCACAGGACAAAUGUCUUCAUGGGGUAUGAUUUCAAAAUAUAGUGAAUGCUGCUGCUGAGCUCCAUCCAGUGGGAAGGCAGCCUUAUAAAACAUGACGCACUGGCCUCAUCCAGUUUAUUCACAGGACCUGGCCCCAUGCAACUUCCCGGCUCUUCUGCAAAGUCAAAAUGACCAUGAAGGGUGUUUUAUAUCAAUUCAGGACACUGAGGAAGCCAGGACAGAGCAACUAAAGACACUUCCAAAAGGACUUCCAGAACUGCUUCAGAAAAUGACCAGAAUGAUGGGAUAAGUGUGUUCAAAGUGAGGGUCGAGUAUUUUGAAAGAAACGAAUUAGCAGUGUUUUUGACUCUAAUAAUUAUUUUAAAUUUAAAAUUCACUAUUUUUCCAUCAUACCUCAUAAUACUUAACUUGUGGCCAUGUACAUUUUGUACAUUUAUUUGCAAGAUUUCAAGUUAGGAGACUGAGCUCCCAUGUUUCGUCUGUACUAAUCAGGAAAUGAUGGGAUGGAAAUACCUCGGCCAGCCAAGGUUCUGUGGUGUAACAGUGGAGGGUGGCUGAAAAGGACACGGAACCACAGUCACCAGAUCCUAGAGCAGAACAUCGGACACGCUGUACAUCCCAACACUCCACUGACCAACACGCGGUAGUGGGAAUCAGCCCUUUAUUUUGGUGUGUGUUUGAAAAAUUAAAUAAAACACUAAAUAUUAAACACACUUCCCAUGAG